UACGAAGGGGGCUAGCGUUGCUCGGAAUCACUGGGCGUAAAGGGUGCGUAGGCGGGUCUUUAAGUCGGGGGUGAAAUCCCGAGGCUCAACCUCGGAACUGCCUUCGAUACUGCGGGUCUCGAGUUCGGGAGAGGUGAGUGGAAUUCCUAGUGUAGAGGUGAAAUUCGUAGAUAUUAGGAAGAACACCAGUGGCGAAGGCGGCUCACUGGCCCGGUACUGACGCUGAGGCGCGAAAGCGUGGGGAGCAAACAGG
rnacentral:rRNA from 1 species